GACGAACGCUGGCGGCGUGCCUAAUACAUGCAAGUCGUACGCAAUUGAUCCACCGAGUGCUUGCACUCACCGGAUCGUUGAGUGGCGCACGGGUGAGUAACACGUGGGUAACCUGCCCACCAGAGGGGGAUAACAGUCGGAAACGAUUGCUAAUACCGCAUAGGUUGAACGACCGCAUGGUCGCUCAAGGAAAGACGGCUUUGGCUGUCACUGGUGGAUGGACCCGCGGCGUAUUAGUUAGUUGGUGAGGUAACGGCUCACCAAGACAAUGAUACGUAGCCGACCUGAGAGGGUGAUCGGCCACAUUGGGACUGAGACACGGCCCAAACUCCUACGGGAGGCAGCAGUAGGGAAUCUUCCGCAAUGGACGAAAGUCUGACGGAGCAACGCCGCGUGAGUGAAGAAGGUUUUCGGAUCGUAAAACUCUGUUGUUAGAGAAGAACAUGUCUGAGAGUAACUGUUCAGGCAUUGAC
rnacentral:rRNA from 1 species